rnacentral:misc_RNA from 1 species
CGACGAUUUUUCUUUCCGUGCGGAAUGCUUAUCGAUCAAAUUGUUACUCGUUUUGUAACUCGUAUCCCUCGUUGGUCGGAUCCGCUUUCGUGAGCCGCGUCCAUCAGCCGCAUUAUUUUCAAUUGCUCUCUUCAUACGGUGAAUUACUCGGCCCGCCUCGAAACCGAAUAGAGGAGCCGAGCUACUUUCAACAAUUUCGUUUGCUAUUCAUUAUUCAAUGGUUCGAACACGUUAUGCCCCAUCGUGCAGCAAACUUUCGCGAACGCGAUCAUGGUAGCCAUUUUCUGUUGUGUCCGAUGACGGGCUACAAAAGAUUGUGGAAAAGCGCAAGACGAACAGGAUGAGAGUAGGGAAAAACGA